GGGAUAGCCCGGCGAAAGUCGGAUUAAUACCCCAUAAAACAGGGGUCCCGCAUGGGAAUAUUUGUUAAAGAUUCAUCGCUGAUAGAUAGGCAUGCGUUCCAUUAGGCAGUUGGCGGGGUAACGGCCCACCAAACCGACGAUGGAUAGGGGUUCUGAGAGGAAGGUCCCCCACAUUGGUACUGAGACACGGACCAAACUCCUACGGGAGGCAGCAGUGAGGAAUAUUGGUCAAUGGCCGAGAGGCUGAACCAGCCAAGUCGCGUGAAGGAAGAAGGAUCUAUGGUUUGUAAACUUCUUUUAUAGGGGAAUAAAGUGGAGGACGUGUCCUUUUUUGUAUGUACCCUAUGAAUAAGCAUCGGCUAACUCCGUGCCAGCAGCCGCGGUAAUACGGAGGAUGCGAGCGUUAUCCGGAUUUAUUGGGUUUAAAGGGUGCGUAGGUGGUGAUUUAAGUCAGCGGUGAAAGUUUGUGGCUCAACCAUAAAAUUGCCGUUGAAACUGGGUUACUUGAGUGUGUUUGAGGUAGGCGGAAUGCGUGGUGUAGCGGUGAAAUGCAUAGAUAUCACGCAGAACUCCGAUUGCGAAGGCAGCUUACUAAACCAUAACUGACACUGAAGCACGAAAGCGUGGGGAUCAAACAGGAUUAGAUACCCUGGUAGUCCACGCAGUAA
rnacentral:rRNA from 1 species